rfam:Danio rerio chromosome 4, GRCz11 reference primary assembly.
GUUUCUGUAGUGUAGUGGUUAUCACGUUCGCCUCACACGCGAAAGGUCCCCAGUUCGAAACUGGGCGGAAACA